rnacentral:rRNA from 1 species
UCCCAGGAGGCUGCCUUUCGCCCAUCGGGUGUUCCUCCGCAUAUCUACGCAUUUCACUGCUACACGCGGAAUUCCACCUCCCUCUGACACACUCUAGCCCGGUAGUUAAAAAUGCAGUUCCAAAGUUAAGCUCUGGGAUUUCACAUCUUUCUUUCCGAACCGCCUGCGCACGCUUUACGCCCAGUAAUUCCGAUUAACGCUUGCACCCUACGUAUUACCGCGGCUGCUGGCACGUAGUUAGCCGGUGCUUAUUCUGCAGGUACCGUCAGUUUCGCGGGGUAUUAACCCGCGACGUUUCUUUCCUGCCAAAAGUGCUUUACAACCCGAAGGCCUUCAUCGCACACGCGGGAUGGCUGGAUCAGGGUUUCCCCCAUUGUCCAAAAUUCCCCACUGCUGCCUCCCGUAGGAGUCUGGGCCGUGUCUCAGUCCCAGUGUGGCUGGUCGUCCUCUCAAACCAGCUACGGAUCGUCGCCUUGGUGAGCCGUUACCCCACCAACUAGCUAAUCCGAUAUCGGCCGCUCCAAUAGUGCAAGGUCUUGCGAUCCCCUGCUUUCCCCCGUAGGGCGUAUGCGGUAUUAGCUACGCUUUCGCGUAGUUAUCCCCCGCUACUGGGCACGUUCCGAUACAUUACUCACCCGUUCGCCACUCGCCACCAGACCGAAGUCCGUGCUGCCGUUCGACUUGCAUGUGUAAGGCAUCCCGCUAGCGUUCAAUCUGAGCCAGGAUCAAACCCUA